rnacentral:rRNA from 1 species
AUUGAACGCUGGCGGCAGGCCUAACACAUGCAAGUCGAGCGAGCGGCGGACGGGUGAGUAAUGUAUGGGGACUGCCCGAUAGAGGGGGAUAACUACUGGAAACGGUGGCUAAUACCGCAUACUAUCGGAUAACCCAUAUGGGAUUAGCUAGUAGGUGGGGUAAAGGCUCACCUAGGCGACGAUGCCUAGCUGGUCUGAGAGGAUGACCAGGCACACUGUGACUGAGACACGGUCGAGAUUCCUACGGAGGCAGCAGUGGGGAAAAUCUCACAAUGGGCGCAAGCCUGCUGCAGCCAUUCCGCGUGUGUGACGAAGGGCUUCGGGUUGUAUAGCACUUUAAGCGAGGAGGCGUUACUCGCAGAAGAAGCACCGGCUAACUCCGUGCCAGCAGCCGCGGUAAUUC